ACCAGGUGUGGUGGAGCACGCCUGUAAUCCCAGCAGCUCAGAUGGGAGGCUGAGGCAGGAGGAUCACAAGUUCAAGGCCAGCCUCAGCAACUCAGCAAGACCCUGUCUCAA
rnacentral:sRNA from 1 species